rnacentral:rRNA from 1 species
AGUGUAAAGGCAUAAGGGAGCUUGACUGCGAGACCUACAAGUCGAGCAGGGUCGAAAGACGGACUUAGUGAUCCGGUGGUUCCGCAUGGAAGGGCCAUCGCUCAACGGAUAAAAGCUACCCCGGGGAUAACAGGCUUAUCUCCCCCAAGAGUUCACAUCGACGGGGAGGUUUGGCACCUCGAUGUCGGCUCAUCGCAUCCUGGGGCUGUAGUCGGUCCCAAGGGUUGGGCUGUUCGCCCAUUAAAGCGGUACGCGAGCUGGGUUCAGAACGUCGUGAGACAGUUCGGUCCCUAUCCGUCGUGGGCGUAGGAAAUUUGAGAGGAGCUGUCCUUAGUACGAGAGGACCGGGAUGGACAUACCUCUGGUGUACCAGUUGUCGUGCCAACGGCAUAGCUGGGUAGCUAUGUGUGGACGGGAUAAGUGCUGAAAGCAUCUAAGCAUGAAGCCCCCC